rnacentral:lncRNA from 1 species
GGGUAGUGAGGAUGCUUGGGUGGUGAGUACACUGGUGGUGUUGGUGAGGGUGGUGACUUGGGAGGGUAAUGAGGGUGCUUGGGUGGUGAGUAGACCGGUGUCUUAGGUGGUGACUUGGGGGGGUAGUAGGGGUGGUGAGGUGGUGAGUAGACUGGCGUUGGUGGUGGAGGAGACUUGUAGUGGUAUGGCUUCUUUGGUGGUGGUGGUGAGUGAUGUGGGUGGUAGGGCUUCUUGUGUGGUGGCGGGGGUGGUGGAGACUUGUAGUGGUAAGGCUUCUUCGGUGGUGGUGGAGGUGGUGGAGACUUGUAGUGGUAUGGCUUCUUUGGUGGUGGUGGUGAGUGGUGUGGAUGGUAGGGCUUCUUGUGUGGUGGGGGUGGUGGAGGAGACUUGUAAUGGUAAGGGACCUUCGGUGGUGGCGGUGAUGGAGGAGGAGGAGACUUGUAGUGGUAAGGCACCUUAGGUGGUGGUGGUGAUGGAGGAGGAGGAGACUUGUAGUGGUAUGGCACCUUUGGUGGUGGUGGUGACGGAGGUGGUGGAG